GAGGGUAUAGCUCGGUGGUAGAGCACGUGCUUAAAGUGCACGAGGUCCUGGGUUCAAUCCCCAGUACCUGCA
rnacentral:tRNA from 1 species